rnacentral:lncRNA from 1 species
CAGUUCUGUGGUCUCUGAGCAAUCCCCAGUGGGCAGGGCUGAGGAGGAGAGUGCCCUGGGUUGAUCCCAGCCUCACAGCGCGGGUAACUGCAGCCAGUGAGGGUCCCAGGGAUGGGAAGGUGUCAGGCCGAGCAGGUCUGGUCUCAAAUCCAGAGCCACAGGAAGGUCCUGGCUCUGGGUUUCCCCUCUCCAGGGCACAGCAGGGACUCCCUGGGCCUCGGAGGGCGGCAGUGACACCCACAGGCCAGCGUGGUGGAUGGAGCUGCCUUCGGUUCUGUCCCGAAUCACUCAGUGAGCCUGCAGCACCACACCGAGCAGGUGGGAUUUCGGUUCACUGGGAAGACCAGUGUGAUGUGGUGGCCCC